GUAUUUGAAGGGAUUCGGUGCUACGACUCUCACAAAGGCCCGGUAGUGUUUCGUCAUCGUGAACAUAUGCAGCGCCUGCGCGACUCAGCAAAAAUUUAUCGUUUUCCGGUUUCCCAGAGUAUUGAUGAGCUGAUGGAAGCCUGCCGCGAAGUGAUCCGCAAAAACAACCUGACCAGCGCCUAUAUCCGUCCGUUGGUAUUUGUCGGCGAUGUCGGUAUGGGCGUUAACCCGCCCCCGGGAUACACCACUGACGUCAUCAUCGCCGCGUUCCCGUGGGGGGCAUACCUGGGUGCCGAAGCGCUGGAUCAGGGGAUCGAUGCGAUGGUUUCUUCCUGGAAUCGCGCUGCGCCGAACACCAUUCCAACCGCCGCCAAAGCGGGCGGGAACUAUCUUUCCUCACUGCUGGUGGGUAGCGAAGCGCGCCGCCACGGCUAUCAGGAAGGCAUCGCCCUGGAUGUAAACGGCUAUAUCUCCGAAGGCGCAGGUGAAAACCUGUUUGAGGUAAAAGAUGGUGUGCUGUUUACUCCGCCGUUUACCUCUUCCGCGCUGCCAGGCAUUACUCGCGAUGCGAUCAUCAAACUGGCGAAAGAGCUGGGUAUUGAAGUGCGCGAGCAGGUGCUGUCCCGUGAGUCGCUGUAUCUGGCCGACGAAGUGUUUAUGUCCGGAACCGCGGCAGAAAUUACUCCGGUACGCAGCGUUGAUGGUAUCCAGGUAGGCGAAGGCCGCUGCGGUCCUGUCACCAAGCGUAUCCAACAAGCCUUCUUUGGUCUCUUCACUGGAGAAACCGAGGAUAAAUGGGGCUGGUUGGAUCCGGUAAAUUCAUAAUAAAUAAAAUUAAUAUUUUCCCAAAAUAAUUUGCGUCACAGGAAGGCGGUAACGCAGCGAAUCCCCAGGGCUUACUGUAGUAAGUGACUGGGGUGAGUGAGGCAGCCAACGCACCUGUGGCGUGAAGUAUGAAGGGAAAAGAUGGGGAGUAAAUAAAGCAUGCCUAAGUACCGUUCCGCCACCACCACCCAUGGUCGUAAUAUGGCGGGUGCCCGCGCGCUGUGGCGCGCCACCGGAAUGACCGACAGUGAUUUUGGCAAACCGAUUAUCGCCGUGGUGAACUCAUUCACUCAGUUUGUGCCGGGUCACGUUCAUCUGCGCGAUCUCGGUAAGCUGGUCGCCGAACAGAUUGAAGCUUCCGGCGGGGUGGCGAAAGAGUUCAACACUAUUGCCGUGGAUGACGGGAUUGCCAUGGGGCACGGGGGUAUGCUCUAUUCACUGCCGUCGCGCGAGCUGAUCGCCGACUCCGUUGAGUACAUGGUGAACGCUCACUGCGCUGACGCGAUGGUGUGUAUCUCCAACUGCGACAAAAUCACCCCAGGGAUGCUCAUGGCCUCGCUGCGCCUGAAUAUUCCGGUGAUCUUUGUCUCUGGCGGACCGAUGGAAGCCGGGAAAACCAAGCUUUCAGACAAAAUUAUCAAGCUGGAUCUGGUUGAUGCCAUGAUUCAGGGAGCGGACCCGAAAGUCUCUGACGAUCAAAGUAACCAGGUUGAACGC
rnacentral:rRNA from 1 species